CGCGUAGGCGGCUUGGCAAGUUGGGUGUGAAAGCCCGGGGCUCAACCCCGGAAUUGCACUCAAGACUGCUUGGCUUGAAUUCGGUAGAGGUUGGUGGAACUCCCAGUGUAGAGGUGAAAUUCGUAGAGAUUGGGAAGAACACCCGUGGCGAAGGCGGCCAACUGGACCGACAUUGACGCUGAGGCGCGAAAGCGUGGGGAUCAAACAGGAUUAGAUACCCUGGUAGUCCACGCCGUAAACGAUGCAUGCUAGACGUCAGAGGGCUCAGCCUUCUUGUGUCGCAGCUAACGCAUUAAGCAUGCCGCCUGGGGAGUACGGCCGCAAGGUUGAA
rnacentral:rRNA from 1 species